GACGAACCGUGCAAACGUUAUUCGGAAUCACUGGGCAUAAAGGGCGCGUAGGCGGCUCCAAAAGUCAGGGGUGAAAUCCGGCAGCUUAACUGUCGCAGUGCCUUUGAUACUGUGGAGCUAGAGGGAGGUAGGGGUCUGUGGAACUUCCGGUGGAGCGGUGAAAUGCGUUGAGAUCGGAAGGAACGCCCGUGGCGAAAGCGAGGUCCUGGACGUCUGCUGACGCUGAGACGCGAAAGCCAGGGGAGCGAACGGG
rnacentral:rRNA from 1 species